rnacentral:misc_RNA from 1 species
GAUGAAGAACGCAGCGAAAUGCGAUAAGUAAUGUGAAUUGCAGAAUUCAGUGAAUCAUCGAGUCUUUGAACGCACAUUGCGCCCCCUGGUAUUCCGGGGGGCAUGCCUGUCCGAGCGUCAUUGCUGCCCUCAAGCACGGCUUGUGUGUUGGGCCGCCGUCCCCGGUUUCCCCCGGGGACGGGCCCGAAAGGCAGCGGCGGCACCGCGUCCGAUCCUCGAACGUAUGGGGCUUUGUCACCCGCUCUGUAGGCCCGGCCGGCGCCAGCCGACACCCAACUUUAUUUCUAAGGUUGACCUCGGAUCAGGUAGGGAUACCCGCUGAACUUAAGCAUAUCAAUAAGCGGAGGA